UGAGGAAUAUUGGUCAAUGGGCGAGAGCCUGAACCAGCCAAGUCGCGUGAAGGAAGAAGGUUCUAUGGAUUGUAAACUUCUUUUGCAGGGGAAUAAAGGACGGUACGUGUACUGUUUUGUAUGUACCUUGCGAAUAAGGAUCGGCUAACUCCGUGCCAGCAGCCGCGGUAAUACGGAGGAUCCGAGCGUUAUCCGGAUUUAUUGGGUUUAAAGGGUGCGUAGGUGGGUUGUUAAGUCAGUGGUGAAAGUUUUCAGCUCAACUGAAAAAUUGCCGUUGAAACUGUCGAUCUUGAGUGCAAAUGAGGUAGGCGGAAUGUGUUGUGUAGCGGUGAAAUGCUUAGAUAUAACACAGAACUCCGAUUGCGAAGGCAGCUUACUGGGAUGCAACUGACGCUGAGACGCGAAAGCGUGGGGAGCAAACA
rnacentral:rRNA from 1 species